ensembl:lincRNA 4930429H19Rik RIKEN cDNA 4930429H19 gene
AUACAGACCCGGGAUGACAUUUUGACUUUCUAACUUGUUGCUGUAUGGGAUUGAACAAAUCAUUUAGCCUGAGACUGUUCCCUGCUUUGUACAACAGUGCCUAGGAAAUGCUAAUGAGAAAACAGGAGUGGUAGCGAUAAUGGUAAUAGUGAUAAUGCUGCUGGUGGAGGAAAGAUGGCGACGGUGGUGAUGAUUCUGUCAAGAUGUGAUGGUGGCCGCGUAGAUGGUACAGAGAUGAUGGUGAUGCUGGUAGAAGUGGAGACAGUAGGAGUAGUGAUGACGACAGCGGUGAUGGAGGCCAUGGGGCGGCUGCAGGGUAACCCUGUGAUCCAUGCUGGCGUUCGUGGUAGUCCGUGGUGGUGGUAGCAGAGGCAAUAAUGACAAUAGCUAAGGUGGCGGUGGUGGUGUUAGCCGGAAGUGGUAACAGUGGUGACGGUGGAGAUGGUAACUAUGGCAGAAGUAAUGGUAGCGUUAGAGGUGGUGUGGGAGAAGGCUUUGGUGGUGAAAACAGAGCGGCUGUUGGUGGGAGCGACUGUGGAAGCCAUGGUUGCUGGAAGCCAUAGUGCUGUUGGAAGUGGGAGGGGCUAUGUAAGCUUGCUCUUUCAGAUGCUUUCCCCAGUUUGGUUGCCCUUUAGCAGGACCAGACCAGUCAGUGACAAUGUGUCUCUACCUUUCAGAGACAUUUCUCCCUAGAGGACUUUCAGAGUCACCAUUACAUGCUGCAAACCCUUCAGCCCAAGUCAAAUAGAACCUAGGUGUGAUUUUUAACUCCUCAGUCCUCAGCAAACGGAGCCCAGGCCACCUUCAGGGCCGGGGAAGUGCUGUGUCUCCUCCUCCCGAUCUUUCCACGUCUCGCCUCCCACAGGGCCUUUCCACAGUCUCCCCUUCUCCGGUUCACUCUGAAAACCUGACGUCUUGCUGGCUCUCUGAUGAAAAAAGCCAGAGAGAACACUAAAAUACAGAUCUCUCUCACCAAAGCCUUCCUCUCCCUGUCCCAGCUACAUAACGUUUCAACGAGGUUUGAAAAACAAACUGGGAACCAAGGUGCAUCUCCUACUCAACAAACUGGAGUUCCAAGAAUUUUGAGUCAAAGACUGAGUGACAAUUUAUCUGUAGUGAGAUCUCUUUUUUUUUCCAGUACAUACUAAUUGUAUAAAAUAAUGGUUUUUAUUGUGACGAAUUUCACACAUGCAUGUAACACUUUUGAGAAACCCAUUUUGAGAAUGUUAACUGAGAGCUCCUUUCACUCUUACACAGAAGGUUCUGAAGAACCGAACCAUGAAGCAAUUUUGCAGAAACUGUUCUGUGGAGGUUUGGGGAAGUAUCGGAGAGUGGGGAUAUGAGAGCUGAGUUGGGACCCAAGCUCAAGUCCGAAGCCAUGAGCAGCAAUCCAUGCCGUCUCUCACCCCUCCAUCUCGCAUCUGCAUCGCAUCUGCAAACUGGGCAUUAAUCUACACAAAGAUGGUUGUGAGCCAUCAUGUGGUUGCUGGGAUUUGAACUCAGGAUCUUCGGAAGAGCAGUCAGUGCUCUAUAUAGUGUCCUAUGGUGGACAUGGGAAAUGAGGCAUUUCCUGACCUAGUCCAGUGCUUCCUUCAUAAGGUGAAUAAAGAGGCUGAGAGAACGCGUGACUUGAUCACGGAAUGCUGAAACGAAAACCAGCAUCUUCCAGAACCCAACACAGGGACUUCACUGAACCCCUGGGAUUCUCUCUCACUCCCUGGAUGUACAACUUCAAGUUAUGUUGAAAAAGUGCAAUGUUAGCCACGGUUUCUUUAUCAUCUAAAUAAACCUACAUCCUGCAUC